AGAUUAGACAGAUGAUUAAAUAUAUCAGGUAAAUAUCUCAUUUCUGUCUUAUUUUAUCUUUCUUAAAGUCUCUCAAUAUCUCUCACUGAGAUAACAAACUAGUAUUACUUGUAAAUUUGCAAAAUCAAUGUUCAAUUAAUUCGUUAAUUGAAAAGCGCGCACAUUGUAGCAUUUUUAACAUGUAAUCAAUAUUUGGCCUGAUUAUAUUUAUGUACUUUAGUAAUGUAACAAGUAAAUUUUUUCAGAGUCUAAAGAUGACUCUUUUUUCAAAGUCAAAAAAUCUAGAAAAAAAAACAAAAAGUCAACAUUCUACAAAAUUUAUAUCUAGAUUAGUCAAAACAAUACUGUUAAACAUAACAGUAACCUAACAGUAACCUAACAGUAACCUAACAGUAACCUAACAGUAACCUAACAGUAACUUAACAGUAACCUAACAGUGAUAGCUAACAGUAACUUAACAGUAACUUAACAGUAACCUAACAGUGAUACCUAACAGUAAUCUAACAGUAAUCUAACAGUAAUCUAACAGUAAUCUAACAGUGAUACCUAACAGUGAUACCUAACAGUAAUCUAACAGUGAUACCUAACAGAUACCUAACAGUGAUACCUAACAGUAAUCUAACAGUAAUCUAACAGAUACCUAACAGAUACCUAACAGUGAUACCUAACAGUUACCUAACAGUAAACAUAAAAAGUAAUAAAAUGUACUAAAAGUAGGUAAAAAAUUAAACACAUAGUGAGUCUAAAAAAGUAAAACAGAAUACUUAUGUCUCAAAACCGUUAUUUCUUAUGAUUGGACAAAGCACUAAUCAAAGAAUCUCACAUAGUCCGGACUAGUAACGUACUCCCUAUUUAACGGUUAUAGGUUGAGAACGUUAUUGACAUUAAGUAUUCAAUAAAAUAGAUGUACAUCACACGCAUAAAUAUGCACAAAAUAAAUACUCACAAAAAAUUGAAAUAUAUUCCUACUUAGUAGACAUAUCUUACAUUUUGUAAGAAACUAG
rnacentral:sRNA from 1 species